rnacentral:rRNA from 1 species
UACGUAGGGGGCUAGCGUUGUCCGGAAUCAUUGGGCGUAAAGCGCGUGUCGGCGGCCCGGUAAGUCCGCUGUGAAAGUCGGGGGCUCAACCCUCGGAUGCCGGUGGAUACUGUCGGGCUUGAGUACGGAAGAGGCGAGUGGAAUUCCUGGUGUAGCGGUGAAAUGCGCAGAUAUCAGGAGGAACACCGAUUGCGAAGGCAGCUCGCUGGGACGUUACUGACGCUGAGACGCGAAAGCGUGGGGAGCAAACAGG